rnacentral:lncRNA from 1 species
CCCUAACAGGCACACUCUUCAGUGUCUUCUCCGAUUCCGUCCGCUCUUCUCCGCCGAAAAACGGCUGAAUCGCCAACAUUCCCACCACUUUCUGAUCCCGAAACUCUUGCCCGCUCGCUCUGAUCGCCACGUGGUGCGCUAUGUUCCCGCCGGCGCUGUCCCCGGCCAGAAAACACUCCCCGAGAUUCGCGCCCCCGAACAAGCUGCUUUGACUGUCGUCGAUGAACUUGAGGACGUCGAAACCGUUGUCGUACUGGCACGGAUACCGAUGUUUUGGCGCGAGGCGGUAGUUGACGGUCGCACCAGAGAGCGUCAGGGGCUGACAGGAAGAAGCUCAAGAGGACCGUCAAGGAGAGAUUUCCCAGAGCUUCCGACGCCGAUAU